rnacentral:rRNA from 1 species
UACGAAGGGGCUAGCGUUGCUCGGAAUCACUGGCGUAAGCGCACGUAGGCGGAUUGCUAAGUCAGGGUGAAAUCCUGGAGCUCAACUCCAGAACUGCCCUUGAUACUGGCGGUCUCGAGUCCGGGAGAGGUGAGUGGAACUGCGAGUGUAGAGGUGAAAUUCGUAGAUAUUCGCAAGAACACCAGUGGCGAAGGCGGCUCACUGGCCCGGUAC